UGAUCAUUUAACCCUUUCAGACAAAUAAAAAUACUCUGGUCUGGUCUCUCUCCCUCUUAGAAAACCAGUCGAAGAAGAAGCGCCCAUCCUUAGCGAGAGUACCCCGGAGGCCCCGACGCUGACCAUCGCCUGAGAAGAAGCGCCCAUCCUCAGCAAGAGUACCCCCGAGGCCCUGACGCUGACCAUCGCCUGAGAAGAAGCGCCCAUCCUCGCCUGAGAGAAGAACCCAUACUCGCCGAUCGCCACCUGAGAAGAAAAACCCAGAUGUGCAUGAGCGGGGUGCCUCUUUCAUCCUCCCCUUUAGCCCAGAAAUCCUUAGAAGGUUUAUGAGAAGAAACGCCCAAAAAAAUACUCUGGGAGCUGACUACUCAGGUAGUGAUGGCAUGAAUUCUGGCUCAAUGAAUAUUAUCAGAGGUUUUUAAUCAACAUGCAUGACUCAAUAAGCCCAAGCCCAACCAAAAUGUCAUUAGCCUCUCUUUGACAAGAGCAAUUCUCUCUGUCUCUACCAUUAUUGAUUGAUCGUACAAUGGGAGAUCCGCUGCUGCUCCGUUGAUCUGUGAACUUGCUAUGGUGAUUCGCUCCGUCGAUCCGUGGACUUUCUCCGACAACUUGCUCAAUCAACUUGCUUUGACUUUCUAUGGCCACUGCUGAGGCAGGAAGCAUGAAAAUGGGCAUCAUAACUCAGCUGUUCAUUUGUUUUCUCUGUACAUUUGUUUUCUUUUGAAGAGGAAGAUUAAGUCCUGAUAUAUAAGUCAUCUAGGAUUACAUGGAAGAUUACGAGAUUAAAGUUCCUUUCCAGUCUCUUAGACUCUGCCAACAAUCACAACAUAUACUUUCAGAACCAUUACAUUCUAUAUGAACUGAAGUCAAGUGACUUGCAUAAGUAAUUUUAAUUAUUCUUUGACCACCAUGAAAUGU